rnacentral:rRNA from 1 species
UACAGAGGGUGCAAGCGUUAAUCGGAAUUACUGGGCGUAAAGCGUGCGUAGUCGGUUAUUUAAGUCGGAUGUGAAAUCCCCGGGCUCAACCUGGGAAUUGCAUUCGAUACUGGAUGGCUAGAGUUCGGCAGAGGGAAGUGGAAUUUCUGGUGUAGCGGUGAAAUGCGUAGAUAUCAGAAGGAACACCGGUGGCGAAAGCGACUUCCUGGACCAAUACUGACGCUCAUGUGCGAAAGCGUGGGGAGCAAACAGG